AAUAUUGUCACUGUUAAAAAAUUAUGCUUGAAACACUGGAGAAACACUGCCAGUCAAACUUGACAAUAGUCUGCCUUGGUAUAAAGCAGAUUUUUUAAAUGUUUCCUUUGCCUAUUGAAAAAGAUGUUGCUGUUGGCUAGGGGGUCGCAACCUUUAAUCAUCCAGCUGUUUUGUGCUUCAGUUUCUAGAAACCUCCACCAAAAUGACCAAUAAGGACAGAGCCUGGGAACUGAACUUCAAAACGUUUGUCACACCAAAUGUACAGAAUCAGUGGUCUAGAAAGAAAUUUACUUUGAAAAAAUUAGAGUGUUCAAAGCAGGCCGCUCGCUGGAAUAAUGGAAUAGGACUCCGGCUCUAUUUUGUUGGUUUUCGGAACUGGGGCCAUGAUUAAGAGGGACGGCCAGGGGCAUUCGUAUUGUGCCGCUAGAGGUGAAAUCCUUGGACCGCCGCAAGACGAACCAGAGCGAAAGCAUUUGCCAAGAAUGUUUUCAUUAAUCAAGAAUGAAAGUCGGAGGUUCGAAGACGAUCAGAUACCGUUGUAGUUCCGACCAUAAACGAUGUCGACUAGUGAUCCGGUGGCGUUAUUCCCAUGACCCUCCGACCAGCUUCUGGGAAACCAAAGUCUUUGGGUUCCU
rnacentral:ncRNA from 1 species